GUGCUUGCUUCAACAGCACAUAUACUAAAAUUGGAAUGAUACAGAGAAGAUUAGCAUGGUCCCUGCACAAGGAUGACAGAAAGACCAAUUCAAAAUGGCUCAAACACCU
rfam:Mus musculus chromosome 1, GRC primary reference assembly.